rnacentral:lncRNA from 1 species
AAGGAACUAGGCCACAUUUUCUAAAACAUAGUAAAUGACAUAUAAACACCUGCAGAGAGAGAGCCCUUACCUGUCUUGGUGAGGGAGGCAGCACCAACAACAGCAAAGAUUAGCUCUGUUAGCGCCACUGGAAGCUGCAGAGUGGAGGACAGCAUCAGUAACAGCAGACGGACAUUUUCAUGACUUCCAAGGAUACUAUGAAAGCCAUCUGAACAUUGGAAGUAGGAAGUCAAACAGCUUGGGAAACUUGGGAGACUGGCUUUCUCUGCUUCUUCAAGUACACAGUUGUAAGAAGAUGGCUGUGCCACGUUUACCAUGUGGGUUUCCCUCAGUUACAGCCAUGUACAGAGACUAACUUGUUACCAAUUUCAAAUUCCU